CCUACGGGAGGCUGCAGUGAGGAAUAUUGGUCAAUGGACGAGAGUCUGAACCAGCCAAGUAGCGUGAAGGAUGACUGCCCUAUGGGUUGUAAACUUCUUUUAUAUGGGAAUAAAACGUUCCACGUGUGGGAUUUUGUAUGUACCAUAUGAAUAAGGAUCGGCUAACUCCGUGCCAGCAGCCGCGGUAAUACGGAGGAUCCGAGCGUUAUCCGGAUUUAUUGGGUUUAAAGGAAGCGUAGGUGGAUUGUUAAGUCAGUUGUGAAAGUUUGCGGCUCAACCGUAAAAUUGCAGUUGAAACUGGCAGUCUUGAGUACAGUAGAGGUGGGCGGAAUUCGUGGUGUAGCGGUGAAAUGCUUAGAUAUCACGAAGAACUCCGAUUGCGAAGGCAGUUCACUGGACUGCAACUGACACUGAGGCUCGAAAGUGUGGGUAUCAAACAGGAUUAGAUACCCCAGUAGUC
rnacentral:rRNA from 1 species